rnacentral:rRNA from 1 species
GACGAACGCUGGCGGCGUGCUUAACACAUGCGAGUCGAACGCUGAAGCACCAGCUUGCUGGUGCGGGUGAGUGGCGAACGGGUGAGUAAUACGUGAGUAACCUGCCCUUGACUCUGGGAUAAGCCCGGGAAACUGGGUCUAAUACUGGAUGCUACGUUCCAUCGCAUGAUGGUUCGUGGAAAGGGAUUACUGGUCUUGGAUGGGCUCACGGCCUAUCAGCUAGUUGGUGAGGUAAUGGCUCACCAAGGCGACGACGGGUAGCCGGCCUGAGAGGGUGACCGGCCACACUGGGACUGAGACACGGCCCAG